GGGCCUCUUGCCAUCGGAUGUGCCCAGAUGGGAUUAGCUAGUAGGUGGGGUAACGGCUCACCUAGGCGACGAUCCCUAGCUGGUCUGAGAGGAUGACCAGCCACACUGGAACUGAGACACGGUCCAGACUCCUACGGGAGGCAGCAGUGGGGAAUAUUGCACAAUGGGCGCAAGCCUGAUGCAGCCAUGCCGCGUGUAUGAAGAAGGCCUUCGGGUUGUAAAGUACUUUCAGCGGGGAGGAAGGGAGUAAAGUUAAUACCUUUGCUCAUUGACGUUACCCGCAGAAGAAGCACCGGCUAACUCCGUGCCAGCAGCCGCGGUAAUACGGAGGGUGCAAGCGUUAAUCGGAAUUACUGGGCGUAAAGCGCACGCAGGCGGUUUGUUAAGUCAGAUGUGAAAUCCCCGGGCUCAACCUGGGAACUGCAUCUGAUACUGGCAAGCUUGAGUCUCGUAGAGGGGGGUAGAAUUCCAGGUGUAGCGGUGAAAUGCG
rnacentral:rRNA from 1 species